UACGUAGGUGGCAAGCGUUGUCCGGAUUUACUAGGUGUAAAGGGCGUGUAGCCGGGCUGACAAGUCAGAUGUGAAAUCCGGGGGCUCAACCCCCGAACUGCAUUUGAAACUGUUGGUCUUGAGUAUCGGAGAGGCAGGCGGAAUUCCUAGUGUAGCGGUGAAAUGCGUAGAUAUUAGGAGGAACACCAGUGGCGAAGGCGGCCUGCUGGACGACAACUGACGGUGAGGCGCGAAAGCGUGGGGAGCAAACAGG
rnacentral:rRNA from 1 species